rnacentral:rRNA from 1 species
GAUGAACGCUGACAGAAUGCUUAACACAUGCAAGUCAACUGUGGCGGACGGGUGAGUAACGCGUAAAGAACUUGCCUCACAGAUAGGGACAACAUUUGGAAACGAAUGCUAAUACCUGAUACUGUGAGAGAGCUUUGCGUCCCAUUAGCUAGUUGGAGAGGUAACGGCCCACCAAGGCGAUGAUGGGUAGCCGGCCUGGGAGGGUGAUCGGCCCCAAGGGGACUGAGACACGGCCCUUACUCCUACGGGAGGCAGCAGUGGGGAAGUGUGGACAAUGUGCCAAAGUCUGAUCCAGCAAUUCUGUGUGCACAAUGAAGUUUUCGGGAUGUAAAGUGCUUUCAGUUGGGAAGCAGUACCAACAGAAGAAGUGACGGCUAAAUACGUGCCAGCAGCCGCGGUAAUUC